rnacentral:lncRNA from 1 species
UAAGGAAAGGGCAGGGGAUCAGGGAGAAAGCAGGAGGAGUCGAGUAGCACAUAGCAGAACUGAGCUUGGCCCAGUAGCAGAAAUGUGAACCUGAAGUCAUAUAAUUCUCCUAAGCACUCUGUCAGUGUUGUUUACGCUUGUGGGAGUUCAAGUACGUGAGUAGUAUCAAUUCUGUACAAAGGACUAGAAUACAUUUGCUAUAACAGUUAAAGUAGAAAGGGAAGUGUAGCUUGCCCAACAAGUGCUAAAAGUACUCUGACAGCGAUCAGCCUGGGAGAUGUGGAUGAUUUGGAUGAAAACUGAUCUGGCUAUUGGUUGGGACGUAUCUAUUGGGACACCAAUAAACCAGAAUGCUACAUAACAGUGAAUGCGGCCAAACACACAAGAGAGACAAUGCAAUUUUAAUAUCAGAAUACAACUUUAUUUUGUUUAACAGAUGUCUGCUAUAGUAUUUAUCCUACCACCUGCAAGAUUAGCCACCAACGUAAAAUCUGAGAAGACACAAAAGGAUGGUGCCACUUUACAGUUUCAUGAAAUCAGAAAUGAUACCUGAACUGCAGAGAUAGCAUAUCCUCUGAGGGGUGGAGUCAACUGAAAAAUGACAGAAAUGACAGCAGUCAGUGAAAGAAAUCUGGGACGUCUACACUUCAGGCAUUCAGUAAGAAAGAGGAAACAAACAGCACAGGAAAAUGUUUUCCUUUUACAUCAGUGAUCUUAGCCAGCCUUACUGGCGUUGAUGGAAAUCUGUGCUCCUACUACUCUGUGGUAAAUGUUUUUUUUUUUUUUCCUUGCUGUAUUCUGGGCAAUGCAUGUGUGCCCUUUAAUAGCUACUGUUCAUUUGUAAGGGGAAUUGCCACGGUAGGUAUUUCUUUAGAGCUUUUCCUCCUUUAGAUUUUUAUUUCCCUCUCCUGGUAGCACUAAGACUGUGAGCAGCAGCAGAAGUGUGAGGAUAGAUGCUGCCACGUUGUUUAGAUCGGCUGUGGACAGUAUGAACAGUAGGUUAGUUAGAAGACCAACUCUGCAUUCAUGUUGCGAUUUGUGUGGUUUUAAGU